ensembl:rRNA 5S_rRNA 5S ribosomal RNA
GCCAGCAGCCAUAUCACUCUGCAGCUCACAACUGGCAACCCACUGAAGCUCAGCAGGUGAGAGCCUGGUCAGUACCUGGAUGGGAGACCUCCUGGGAAAAACUAAGGUUGCUGCUGGAA